GACGAACGCUGGCGGCGUGCUUAACACAUGCAAGUCGAACGGAGUUAAGUAGCUUGCUACUUAACUUAGUGGCGAACGGGUGAGUAACGCGUGAGGAACCUGCCUCUCAGUGGGGGACAACAGUUGGAAACGACUGCUAAUACCGCAUAAAACCGUAGUACCGCAUGGUACAUCGGUCAAAGAUUUAUUGUUGAGAGAUGGCCUCGCGUCUGAUUAGCUAGUUGGUGGGGUAACGGCCCACCAAGGCGACGAUCAGUAGCCGGACUGAGAGGUUGACCGGCCACAUUGGGACUGAGAUACGGCCCAGACUCCUACGGGAGGCAGCAGUGGGGAAUAUUGGGCAAUGGGCGAAAGCCUGACCCAGCAACGCCGCGUGAAGGAAGAAGGCCUUCGGGUUGUAAACUUCUUUUACCAGGGACGAACACAAUGACGGUACCUGGAGAAAAAGCAACGGCUAACUACGUGCCAGCAGCCGCAGUAACAC
rnacentral:rRNA from 1 species